rnacentral:lncRNA from 1 species
UGCCUUUCAGGGCUGGCCCUGUUAGCCUGGUUCCCAGCUCAGAGCUCUGUAUGCUGAUUUGAAUCACAGUCCUCAGAAGAGCAGAACAUUGGUGCUAGGAAGGAUUAGAGUUCUGAGCCAUCAAACCAGCUUCAAGGUUUUUCUUUUCCCAUUAUUUUGAUGUUUGAUAGCAUGCUUAAAUUAAAUACUUGGAAGAUUACAUUUUGCUAAAUAAUGCUGUGAGCAAACAGUUUCUGCAGUCCAGACAUUCUUUCACCCGAGAACAUUUUCUUUAAAAGGUAGCACGUUUCCUUGGACAGCAGCCAUCCCUGGCAGCAGAUCUCAGCACUCAGUAGGAAACCCAUGCCUUUGAGUUCUGAACUAGCCCAUACUGGAAUUAAAACACAACACUAACAGUCAGAAUCGGUUGUUCUUGGUGGAUAGGUGAGAACAUGUACUAAUGUCAGCUGUGUAUACAUUCAGCUCUGGGGUAAAAAGCCUUAACAAGAGAACAGAAAGAGGUUGGGCCACAGUGCAGUUAAAAACACACAAAAAAAUGGAAGUCAAAUGUCAACACAGAAGUUUAAUUUGGAGGUCUGUGGACAGAUGGAGAGUUGAAGUCCACUCCCUACCUGUUUAG